GCAGAAGGAUCAUUAGUGAAGAUUUGGGCAGGCCAUACGGACGCCAAAAAGUGCCCCUGGCCGCCUACACCCACUAUACAUCCACAAACCCGUGUGCACUGUCUUGGAGAAAGGCUUCAGAGAAGUUUUUUGUGGCCUCUCUUGGGGUCUUUCUUCGCUACAAACUCGAAUGGUUAGUAUGAACGUGGAACUUGGUUGGACCGUCACUGGCCAACAAACUAUACACAACUUUCGACAACGGAUCUCUUGGUUCUCCCA
rnacentral:misc_RNA from 1 species